ACGUAGGGUGCAAGCGUUGUCCGGAAUUAUUGGGCGUAAAGAGCUCGUAGGCGGCUUGUCGCGUCGGCUGUGAAAACCUGGGGCUCAACCCCGGGCCUGCAGCCGAUACGGGCAAGCUAGAAUUCGGUAGGGGAGACUGGAAUUCCUGGUGUAGCGGUGAAAUGCGCAGAUAUCAGGAGGAACACCGGUGGCGAAGGCGGGUCUCUGGGCCGAUAUUGACGCUGAGGAGCGAAAGCGUGGGGAGCGAACAGGA
rnacentral:rRNA from 1 species